AGAAAUUAUUUGAGGAGUCCGCUUUAUUAGCUGUAGGUGAACUAACUACGUGAAAUUUAGGAGUUGAAGUGAAGCUUGAAGCAUGAAAAGUAGACUUUAUUUGAGAACCAGCAGAAGAGAAAUCGAUUGUUGGCAAGGUAAGUUGAUAGAGAAAUCGAUCGUUGGCAAGGCAUAACAAACAGUGACUUAUUAGUAGAAGUACACUAAAAAAUAGACCUUAGAACAUUAUUUGAGGAGUCCGCUUUAUUAGCUAUAGGUGAACUAACUACGUGAAAUUUAGGAGUUGAAGUGAAGCUUGAAGCAUGAAAAGUAGACUUUAUUUGAGAACUAGCAGAAGAGAAAUCGAUCAUUGGCAAGGUAAGUUGAUAGAGACCAUCCUUCACUGUCCCUUGAAGAAUAAUAGCUUUGCUGUGUUUAUCCUUUAUCAAACAGUGAUGAGCAUGAAACUCAACUAUCACAUGGUUAUCCUUAGUAAUUUGAGAUAUGCUCAAUAGAUUUUUAGCAAUGCGUGAAACACACAAAAUAUUGUGAAGUUGUAAAAUUCUAUUAGAAUCAGCAGAAGGUAAUAAUAACAUACCUGUGUGAGUGAUCGGAAUAGACUGACCAUUGCCAACUUGUACUUGAGAUCCUCCUUGAUAACUUGACUUCAUAGCCAUAUUAGCAGCAUUUACCAUCAUAUGAUUUGAUGCACCAGAGUCCAUAUACCAAGACUGAUCUAUAAGAGUUUGUGGUGUAGCAACAUCUUGAGACAUGGCAGUUGAUGAUAUAGGUGCAAAGGGGGCAGACAUCAAGGGUGAGUUGUUGGGGGACGUCAUGUUGGUAUCAUGGACUGGUGAGAAAUGUUCAAGUAGGUGUGGUUGGGAGUUUGGAUAAAUGUAGUUUGGUGAAGGAUUUUUGGACACACCAACAGCCAAAAAGUCUGGAAUCCCUCAUCAGAGUGAAGAUGGUGCUUUGGUGGUGGAAAGUUUGCUAUAAAAAGAGCUUGAGCUUGAGCAGCAGGUUCAUGUGUAAUACCUGAGUAUGAUUGACCAUUAUUAACUGAAGAUGGAAGGGAUGCUGGUUGAACUUGAGAAGUAUUGAAAUUGUUGUGAUUUGAGUUUAGGAAAUCAUGGUCAAAACGAUGAUAACAUUGUCGGGCUGAGUGACCAGUCUUGCCACACACUUGGCAGACCAACCUAGGCCUGAAAUAUCCUCUGUCUCGACCUUUGCCUCUCAUUCCAUUAUUGUUGUUGAAUUGAAAUCCACUAGGAGCAGAAUAUUGAGUAAUGGCAAGGUGAGGAAACACAAUAGUGUACAUAGCUACAUUAGAAGGCUAUUAAGGAUACACUUCAUGAUGUUGAUAACUCAUCAUGUCUGACUGAACCAUAGGUGAAGAACUGGUAUUCUAAAAUCUAAUUAUCUGAACCAUAGAUGAAGGACCAGGACUCUAAAAUGUGACUCCUCUAGAAUUGGUAUUUUGAAAUUGUGAUACCACAAGACUUUGAAAUUGUGGCACACCAGUGGUGUCAGUCGAGACUUGUUGUUUUGUAGCUAGUAGUGUAGAAUAGGGGUGGGACAAAAAAAUCCAAAAACGAACCGAAAAACUGGUUCGAAACCGAGCCGAAAAUCUGGUUUUUUUUGUAAACUGGUUCGGUUUCGGUUUAGGCAAAUUGAAAAAACCAAAACACUGGAUCGAUUUUGGUUUGAGAGUAUUCCCAAACCGGUUAACCGAAAUCGGUUUUUAAAACCGAUUUUAAGUUUUCAAUAACCUUAGGUAUAUAAGGAAAAAGAUUUUUAGUAAAAUUUGUUUUGCAAAAACUCCAGAUCUAUAGUCACUCCAUCGCAUUGCCAAGCGCCACCCACCACCAAAGCCAUCAGCAAAGCUUUCUCAUCACCAUUAGAGCGUUAUCCUUUCUGAUCGGCUAACGUCGACAACCACCUAGUGACCACCACGAUGGCAUGACCACGGCUCCACGAACGACGAACGGUGACAACCACCCACCCACAAACGACGAAUGACGACAACCACCCACCCACGAGGCACGAACGAUGAAUGGUGACAACCACCCAAUGACCACCACCACGACACGACCACAAUUAAAAAUCUGGGUCCUCAGCUGCUUCACGUUAGUUCAGCAAGCUCCUCAGGAAAUAGAUGAAUAUGAACUUAUUGAUCUUGUUGACACAAAUUGACGCCUUUAGAGAAAUCUGGUUUUGGGAAGGAGUGAAAGCCACCAAGUGAUUGGAAUGGAAGGAGGCUAUUGUAGAGCUAACCAAGCUUGCUUCAACGAAAAAGAUAGCGCCUGGUGAUUUUUCAGAAGUUUGCCAGACCUUGAAGAAGCAUUGUAGCAGGUUGAAGAAGUUUGGAGAUCUGAAGUUUGGUGUUUUAACUUUUAAGAUGGUUGAAGAAGACUUUUUUUGUUCGCAAAUAUUUUCACUUUUUAAUUAUACCAAUGUUUUUAUUGAUGAGUAUUGAGC